rnacentral:rRNA from 1 species
AGUGAACGCUGGCGGUAGGCCUAACACAUGCAAGUCGAACGGCAGCACAGUAAGAGCUUGCUCUUACGGGUGGCGAGUGGCGGACGGGGGAGGAAUACAUCGGAAUCUACUUUUUCGUGGGGGAUAACGUAGGGAAACUUACGCUAAUACCGCAUACGACCUACGGGGGAAAGCAGGGGAUCUUCGGACCUUGCGCGAUUGAAUGAGCCGAUGUCGGAUUAGCUAGUUGGCGGGGUAAAGGCGCACCAAGGCGACGAUCCGUAGCUGGUCUGAGGGGAUGAUCAGCCACACUGGAACUGAGACGCGGUCCCGACCCCUACGGGAGGCAGGGGUGGGGAAUCUUGGACAGUGGGCGCAAGCGUGAUCCAGCCAUACCGCGUGGGUGAAGAAGACCUUCGGGUUGUAAAGCACUUUUGUUGGGAGAGAAAAGCGGCAGGUUAAUACCCCGCUGUUCUGCCGGUACCCAAAGAAUAAGCACCGGCUAACUUCGU